GUUUCCCUGUACAAGUUCUUCUCUUGUCUGCCGCCAUGUGAGAUGUGCCUUUCACCUUCCACCAUGAUUGUGAGGCCUCCCCAGCCACAUGGAACUCUUCUCCUGAAGAAUGAGAACACUUGCCAGCCCUUUGCCUAUGUUAUCACCUGGAAUAAACUGGAUGUGUCUAAAUGGAACCUGCCUCCUUUGGGGAGCGCAUACUCCCGCCAGGUCACCACAGCCACCAUGACCACCUCAUGCCUCCCAUCCACCUGUUUCAUUAAUUUGUGCCUGGACCAUUUUCAGUUUUCUGGAUGACAUGGGUGAGGAGGAGGAAACUCAGGUAAAUGAUAAAGUUUCGACUAUCAAGAUGAGCAACUCUGAACGGCCAUCCCAGGUCCAAAGCUCCCCGUAAGAUUGGCAGGGGCUUUUAUUUGGACUGCAUUGACGUUUGACUUCUCCUUCUGACCUGUCCUUCUCCUAUCACCCACCAAAAGAAUUUUCUGUGUACAAAUCUCCAUCUCAGAACCUAUUUGCCAUUGAACCUGACCUAAAACAGUAACUCUGACAAAUGAAUGCAUCAAGGUUUGAGGAAACUAGUAUUCCAGAAACGUCCACCAAGACUUGAAGCACUCCUUAAGAUUCAUGGAAAGUUAGGGGGUAGUCUGUGGUGUUACAGAGCCAGCCAAAUUGGCCCCACAGUUAGAUGGAUGCACAAGUUAGGCUCUGGGGAAUGACAGGACCUGGGACUGAAGCCAAGAUGCCUUGGGCUCUGUCCCAGCAUUUCUUCUGUGUGCCCUUACACAGGGUUUUUAGAGCAGUGCUUCUCAAAUGAGCAGUGUUGGAGGACCAUUUUCACUUUCAAUAUAUCACAAACCAAUUUCUUGUCAAGUACACUAAAAUAAACUACAACUCCACACUCCCUAAGUGUGGCCUACACAUAGUAACUGCCUUCAAAAGAGCAUAGUAUGAAAGUAGGGGCAGGGAAGAAGAUAACUUUACAGUAAAGAAAACUGGCAAAGACUGCCUCUGCCAGACGACCAAGGUCAACAUCAACAACAGUGAUAAGUCCUGUGCAAAGUAUGUAGCCUUGAUAUGAUGUGGUGAAAAUGGCACUUCAGCUCUUUGGUCUUCCUCCCCCAAACCCAUAAGCCCAGUUUAAUCAUGAGAAAGGCAAAUCCCAAUUGAAGGACAUCCUACAAAACACCUGCCCGAUAAUUUUCAAAUCUUUCAAAGUCAUGGAAACCAAGAAAAGUCUGAGAAAUUGUCACAAUCAAGAAGAGACAUGAUGAUUAGUGGUAAUACGGUAUCGCUGGAUAGGAUUCUGAAAGAGAAAAAGGACAUUAGGUUAAAAACUAAGAAUAUCUGAAUAAAGUAUGAAUUUCAAUGAAUCAUAACGUAUCAGUAUUGGUUCACUAAUUGUAGCUAAUGUAAUAUAUUAAUUUUACUGUCUUACACUAUCUAUAAGAUACUGCAGAGUAUGCGCGAACUCUCUGUACUAUCUUCUGAAUGUUUCUGUAAAUCUAAAACUGUUCCCAAAAUAAAGUUUAUUAUAGAAAAUAAAACAAAUGACAACACACCUGGUCUUUUAAAGACAUAUGAAAUAUAGGCCUAGAUGACUUAAAAUUUCUCUGUCAAAUUACCAUAAAAGUUUUUAAAAACUUACUGUCACUUUCUAUAUUCCAACCACCAGGAGUAAGUGGUUCUCAGACUGGCUUCGGUCUGUUGACUAUCUUUGAGGAACUCUCAAUUUGACUCUAGGGUUCAGUUUCCUCAUCAGUAAAAUGGGAGCAUAGGGCUAUAGGAUCAUAUUCCCCUCUGGAUAGCCUCUGGAUAGCCUCUGAAGUGCUGUGCUAAGUGAUCGAUCACCGUCUGCCAAAACAGCAGGUGCUCAGAACCAGAUGACUAGAAUCAAGCCCCCUUCCAUGACGAUGACAUGAGGUCCUCACUAUCCAGCAUUGUGAACAGCUGUCCUCUCCCUAAACCUCUUGAACUCCAGUAAUACAAAGGCUACUAUCUCUGGCCUUUUCUUUUUUUUUUUUUUCCAAUACAGAACUAGAAAAGAGGGAAAACAUAAAAAUAAUGCUAUGUGUUCAGGCUGUCACAGAUGGUCCCCAAACCAGGGUGCUGAGUGUUCUUUUUCUGUCUCUCACUUGGAACCCCAGAAACCCAAGAGAAGACUCUGGUGCCGGGAGACUAAUGGAGUUGCAACCCAGCUGUGGGCCAGGAACCAGAGCGCUGUCUGCAGACCAUGAAUUGUCAUAGUACAGACAGGGCACAGUAUGAAAGAAGACACAUCACAAAUGGGGAAGCUGAUAAAAUAAUUAGAAGACAAACCUUCCAACGAGCAAGAAAGAAAAAAAAAUGGCAGUUGAAAAACAGAUGGUGGCAACCUGUCCCAUUGAAUAGGUUUUUGAGAUGUGAGGGGUAGGUUUUAAAACAACCCAAGGAAAUAAUUUUACAUCUGAGAUGGCCAGAGAUUAUGCAAUUUCUUGUGGAUCUUGGAAAGCCAAGAGCUGAUGCCCACAACUAAAGCCCCAAGAAACAGGAUGCACACAGAGCAAAAGCCAACAGGGAAUUGGAAUGAAGAACACUGGUCACCACUCAGACUCCAUGAGUGAGAUGAAGGAUAUUUAAAUAUUGUAACUUGGAAGGAAUUUAAAUAUUGAAACACUUUGGGAGGCCGAGGCAGGCGGAUCACAAGGUCAGGAGUUCGAGACCAGCCUGACCAACAUGGUGAAACUCCGUCUCUACUAAAAAUACAAAAAUUAGCCAGGCAUGGUGGUGCACACAUGUAGUAAUCUCAGCUACUCAGGAGGCUGAGGCAAGGGAAUCACUUGAACCCGGGAGGCAGAGGUUGCAGUGAGUUGAGAUCACACCACUGCACUCCAACUUGCGACAGAGCAAG
rnacentral:lncRNA from 10 species